rnacentral:pre_miRNA from 1 species
AUAAUACUCCCUCCGUCCGGAAAUACUUGUCAUUGAAAUGGAUGUAUUUAGAUGUAUUUUAGUUCUAGAUACAUCCAUUUUCAUUCAUUUUGAUGACAAGUAUUUCCGGACGGAGGGAGUAGCAU